GUCUACGGCUAUACCAUCCUGAAGGUUCCCAAUCUCAUCUGAUCUUGGAAGCUAGGCAGUGUCAAGUAUGAUUAGUACCUGGUUUAUUUUUAAAACAGGGUCUCACUAUGGUGUUCAGGCU
rnacentral:rRNA from 1 species